CUCUCCUCAUUUCUCAUUCAAUCUCGCUAUCCGAUCUCAACCAUGGCUUCUCUCCUCAACUCUUCUCUGCUGCUCUCGCUCGCGUCCUAGGGUUCCUCCUUCCGACUCCUCCUUCGCCGUCGUCACUCACGACGCCUUCAACACCUUCUUCAGCGAAACCGGUUCCGGCAAGCACGUCCCACGCGCCGUCUUCGUCGAUCUUGAACCCACCGUCAUCAACGAAGUCUGUGCCGGCACCUACCGCCAACUCUUCCACCCCGAACAACUCAUCUCCGGCAAGGAAGACGCCGCCAACAACUUUUCCGGAGGACACUACACCGAUUAAGAAGAGAUUCUUAGGAGUUGGAACCCUAAUAGUGGUAAAUACCUGAAAUAGAGCUCUUGGAUAUAUAGUACUAUGCUGAAAUUGAAGCUUAGGUAUAAAGACAUGGGAGGAACAUUGGUGGGGUUGUAUGUUCUGAGAAUUUUGUUGCUUAAUUGGUGGUCUACUUAGAGAGAGUGUUUUGAAUGGUAGUCUCAGUUUUGAGGGGCACUAUAAAGGUGGGUUCUUCAUUUAGGGAAAUCACCAAGCUGCUCAUCACUAAACCUAAGGUUCUCACCUAAGAAAGAUCCAGAGUGGCUAAAGGACGCAAGGGAAUAAGAGAACCCGUGGGAUCUCUUUGGGCCAAAAGAGUCACAUGUAACUUCAAUUAUCUUUUAGUGAAUACAUGGAACAUCUCAAGCUCUUCAUUGAUAAGAAGUGAGUGGUUUUUUAGUUACUCUAGCUCUUUUGAUUAGUUUCAUGUUAACUGCACUUGGAAUACUGCUGACUGGUGAGAGAAUUAGCUCUGUUUUGUUGUUGUCUUUUUUAUCAGUUAUGGUAUUUUGUCCACUCCUAUCUGCUUCAACUUAAAGUAAAUAGGUCCAGUUUUGAAUUAGCUCUAGCUUAUGGUAGCUUUUUCAACUUAGGUUCUUAAUGGAAAGAGAAAGCAGAGUCUGGAAGUGGAACUUCAGCUGUGCUACAAAGCUCAGUCCCGAGUAUCUUAGCAGCUAGUUGUUGAAACAGCUGGAUCCAGAGCUUUGAAAGCUUUGAUUCAAGCGAAAGAAACUGCAGUGGUUGAUCUAUAAAAGGAGUUGACAGAAGAAUCCAUGUGCUUGAUGAUAAGUCUAGUGGAGCUUUCACUUGUUAAUCACCUCAACAUAGCCAUGAAGAUGAAGAUGAAGAUGAAGAUGAAGAUGAAGAUGAAGAUGAAGAUGAAGUUGAAGAUGAAGAUGAAGAUGAAGAUGAAGAUGAAGAUGAAGAUGAAGAAUUCUUAUGAUCAUUAUAACCUCAUUUUAAUAUGUUACUCAUUUUCUUUGCUUUUAAGUAUUAGACAUUUAGGCAUUUAAUUUUUAUGACAUUUAAUAUUUUGCUUUGCUUUUAAGUCUUAAAUACUACCCCAUUUAUAUG